rnacentral:rRNA from 1 species
UACAGAGGGUGCACGCGUUGUUCGGAUUCAUUGGGCGUAAAGGGUGCGUAGGCGGCGCGGUAAGUCUGGUGUGAAAUCUCGGAGCUUAACUCCGAAACUGCAUUCGAUACUGCCGUGCUUGAGGACUGGAGAGGAGACUGGAAUUUACGGUGUAGCGGUGAAAUGCGUAGAUAUCGUAAGGAAGACCAGUGGCGAAGGCGGGUCUCUGGACAGUUCCUGACGCUGAGGCACGAAGGCCAGGGGAGCAAACGGG